rnacentral:snRNA from 1 species
AGCUGAAGUUUCUCUUGAUUAUCACAUAAAUUUUUCGCCUGUUACUAAAGAUUUCCGUGGAGAGGGAACUUUUUGCGAGUGACCUGUAUAUUUGGAGGCUCUGAUCACAGCAGAGCU